rnacentral:lncRNA from 1 species
AAAUAACUGAGGAUCACAAACUACCCGAAUGUUAAGUAAUUCAGAACACUACAAACUUAUACAGAAACAUGUUUGAUAUCCUCCUCAGACUGAACUGAUUCAUAGUCUGAAGCUAAAAAAAAAAAAAAAAAAAAAAAAAAAAAAAAAAAACAAUCCUGCCACAGCCUGUCUGGACUGAACAAAAGAAAUUUACUCAGGAAACCUGUCAGCCAAUCAGCUGCUGCCUUUCAUCUUGCCUGAGAAAACCGGCCAAUCACAGAACUGCUUUCAUUGCUGUUAUCAGAAUGUUGGCUUGGCUGGCUUGGAGAGCAGAGACUGCUGUGUGUAGAGAGAGAGAGAGGGAGGGCUGUCCUCCAUGUUUUAAUAAGCAUUGACAUUACACACUGUUUUAAGCCAUGCAUCCACAGAGAAAUACAGGAUUUUCUGAGACAGGGGACAAAAACCUGUCCCAACACCAAAGAGCUGGAUCCUGGCAGGCAGAGGCAACUCAGAAAUCACACUCACACUGUGUUUUAGUCACCAGGCUCGCAUGGCUGACCUGUGCUAACACUGUGACCAAACUGGCCUCUUCUGGUCUCUCUCCUAGUAAAGUUUCUCUAGAGCUGGAGAGGAGCACAGUUGUGUCACAGGCCAGAACUCUCAAAAUGGAAGGCCCUGAGGAGCAGACAGUACAGACUGUAAGAGGAAGUGCACAUGUAGACCUGCAGAAAAGAUAGAGCAGUAGUUUUGGCUCAAGUUGCAAUUUUCAAUGGCUGACAUAACGCUGAAUGUCCAGGGUAUAUGCCUAAUUCGCAUUCGCAGCUUUUGCUGACAGUUAUUGAAUCUGAAAUAGAAGAUGCAUCUAUCAAUAGAUGCAUAUAGAUGGUGUAAUAGGCUUGUGUUUGUCUUUCUAGGUUAAAUAGAGGCUUCUGUCUGUUGACUUAGGUUGUAAAGACUCUGUGCAGGCCAGGCAUUUUAUCAAAACUUAGUUGUGGUAUGAGUUGGCAGCCAUUUCAGACAGACUUCCUCUUUCGGCUGUGCAACCACAAAGACUGUUCUUGUGUCUGUGAAUGCAAGCAUUCUGUCUUAAUGUGGCAUUAUUAAUAUUACGUUUGUAUUCAGUAUUUCAAAUAUUUCUCUUGGAUGGCAAGUCGUUGGAUGCUGUAUUUAAUACAGCAGGGGUCUGAUCAGAAGUCAAAGCGGUGGAAUAGUGUUUUUUCCACAACCAUAAUGUCAAACUGAGGUGUGUGGGUUUUUUUUUUUAGUUCUUAACCUGCCAUAGCAGUCAUUGUCUGCAAAAUAACCUGCACAUUGGACAGUUUGGCUGUUAAAGCAAGUGAUUAAACCUGACUGUUCAUCGGCUUCACCUGUCUGAUUGACAGCGUAUGUGAACUUGUGAUUUCCUGAUAUCUGUUUGAGGUUAAACUUCUAGAAAUGUGAUUUAAUGUUCAACUGCUGAGAUUUGUGGGGGGUGGAUUAGUUUGUGUGUUAAAAAGAAAAGAGCAGGGAAUUAAUUACAACAGGGAGAUAUAAGAAACAUCAUUUGAAUUAUUAUCAUCAAAUAAUUUUUAUUAGUAGUAGGCAGACUUUCCAUGAUAUAUAUAUUUUAAAUGUUACUUAAAUUACUCAUUUUUGUUUUAUUGUUUAAAAAAAUAAAGAAAAGAAAAAAUGUAUGUUACUCCAAAAAUGUCAUGUGGUGUAAUCAUAUUUUUUUGCACCUUGAAUAAUGGGUUGGUUGUUGCUUAAAUAUAUGUUUAUAUUAUAUAUAAUAAUAAUACAAAUAUGUAUAUAUUUCAUAUAUGAAUUAUGAAAUCCACAUUCAGUGUUGGGUAAGUUACUUAAAGUAAU